AUUCAACUGUGGUCACCAAGAGUAAUUUCAAUCACUUAUAUUGGACAUUGACUCAACAGAUAGCACAUCAUACUAUUAAUGGUUGCAACUUAAGACCUGGCGAUCUCCUGGGAACCGGAACCAUUAGUGGACCUGAGCCAGAGUCCUUGGGAUGCUUGUUAGAGUUGUCAUGGAAUGGACAGAAGUCACUGUCAUUGAAAG